GUGGGGAAUAUUGGACAAUGGGCGAAAGCCUGAUCCAGCCAUGCCGCGUGAGUGAUGAAGGCCUUAGGGUUGUAAAGCUCUUUCAGUAGGGAAGAUAAUGACGGUACCUACAGAAGAAGCCCCGGCUAACUUCGUGCCAGCAGCCGCGGUAAUACGAAGGGGGCUAGCGUUGUUCGGAUUUACUGGGCGUAAAGCGCACGUAGGCGGAUUGGUCAGUUAGAGGUGAAAUCCUGGAGCUCAACUCCAGAACUGCCUUCGAUACUGGCGAUCUUGAGUCCGGAAGAGGUGAGUGGAACUCCUAGUGUAGAGGUGGAAUUCGUAGAUAUUAGGAAGAACACCAGUGGCGAAGGCGGCUCACUGGUCCGGUACUGACGCUGAGGUGCGAAAGCGUGGGGAGCAAACAGGAUUAGAUACCCGGGUAGUCC
rnacentral:rRNA from 1 species